GACGUAGGAGGCGAGCGUUAUCCGGAUUCACUGGGCGUAAAGCGCAUGUAGGCGGAUGUCUAAGUCGUGUGUUAAAGCCCCUGGCUCAACUGGGGGAGGUCAUGCGAGACUGGAUGACUUGAGGGCAACAGAGGCACGUGGAACUCCCGGUGUAGCGGUGGAAUGCGUAGAGAUCGGGAAGAACACCGGUGGCGAAGGCGGUUCUCUGGGCCUGUACUGACGCUGAGGAGCGAAAGCGUGGGGAGCGAACAGG
rnacentral:rRNA from 1 species